GUGCUCACUUCGGCAGCACAUGCACUAAAAUUGGAAUGAUAGAGAUUAACAUGACGGCUACAUGAGGAUGAUUGCAAAUUUGUGAAGCAUUCCAUAUUUUU
ensembl:snRNA U6 U6 spliceosomal RNA